CCGGGCGCUCUUGCAGCUUGGAUGGCGGACAGCACGCAUGCCUCAAGCGUCCGCCGAGCACGAAGAACCGUCCGAUCCCGUGACAGAUUCGCGUAGCGAUUGCUGCCUCCCUCUCUCCUUCCUCCCGAUUCCCGGCCGCGCCUUUCUCCGAACGAAUUUCAGCGGGCGGCGGCGGCGGCGCGUCACAGAACGGUGUGAUACGAUGCCGCCGCGUCACAGAACGGCUCGAGAGAUGGCGAGCUACGGAUAGCGGCUGCGCCCUGCUCGCGGACGGACGCGCGCAUCGACCCGGCCGUGCUGUUGUGCAAGCGACGCGCUGCAGGAGAUUCAUGAAACUCAGUCAUGUUUCAAUGUUGUGGACGGAGGGAGAGCUGAUUCAUGGUGAGCUGGUCUAGGAGUCUAAGUCUUCUGCAGCCAGUUCAAAGCAUCACGUCAGAUAUGUCGUACUCAGUUAAAAGAUUAAGUCAAGCAUGCAGUGCAAUCUAUUAGUUUUGUUAUAUUGUUGAAUAAAAGACUUGCAGUAGGUAAAAUAAUCCUUUGAACUCUGUGGUGUGGCAAAUAUAAUUGCAUGACUUUGGCAGGGACUAGGGAAUGGGAUUGGGUGAGACUAGUUUUAAGUUCUUGCAUAUUCAAAUCAGAAAAAGUUAUUACUGCUAAAUAUAUUUUUUUGUGCAUUCUAUUCAUAAAAUCAGUUUACAGGGUGCUCUAAAAAAUUUCAGUUUACAGGGAAGCUAAGUUAGACAUUGUUUGCAUAUGGUUUAUCAUACUGCAAAAAGCUUGUUUUUGCUAUUACUACUGCAAAUUGUCAACUUCUCUCAACCUACUUCUUGCGCUUCUGAAUGUUGAAAAAUAUGGACAAAGCGAUGUGAUUUCAACAAGACAAGAUAGAUAGUGUAGCUUGCAGUCAAGAAGGGAGAAUUCAAGGGCUGGUCACAUUGAAUAGCAAAAAAAGAUCAAGUCAUGGAUCCACAUUGUGGAUGGAGGGAGAACCGAUUCAUGGUGGAGAUGGUUCACUUGGGUGUCAAGUCACAUCAACCAGUCCAAAGCCUCUGGUCAGAUAUGUAUUACUCAGCCGAAAGAUAGUGAAGCCAUGCAAUCCAUUUGUUCAGUUAGAUUAUUUUGAAUACAAUACUUCAGUUAAAAUUCUGUUGAGGGUGGAAAAUGCAUGCCUGUGGGCUUUGGUAUGGACUGGUGGGGACAGGAACUACCGGACUAGGAUGAGGCAAGCUUAAUGUUAUUGCUAUUCAGUUAGAAAAAGUUAUAAAUGUUAUAUAAUUUUUUUGUGCGUCCUACUAUUUCUAAUGAAAUCAAUCUGCAUGCAUUUUUGUGUGCAAUUUUGCAACCACCUUACUUUUGUAUUCACACUGUAAAGUGCAAACUUCUCAUUUUUCCAAAUUCUCAAAUAAAAUAGUUUUGUGCUUAUGUUUUCUAUAUUUCUACAUUAUUCCCUAACUAGCUCUCACGCUGUUGAAGGUUGAAAAAACAUGGACAAACCUAGCGAGUGGCAUGUCGGCUAUCGUGUUUCUCUCUCCAGAGUUUGAAUUUGACUUUUCAGGAUGGAAAAGUGGGAAUUCCAGUUUUUGGUGAGCUAUUAAGUUGGAAUGAAUAAAGUACACAAGGUGACAGGGUUAUUUCCUGAACAGUAUUCAUGGAAGUCGGGUGGAGGAAUAGGUGAGUCAUGUUGAGCUGGUAAUUCUUUGAAAUCAAAUAUUGCGACAUCCAGUUAAACAAGUAUAAUAAUCUAUCAGAUGCAACCAGUUAAAAACAAUUUAGAAUUCAAAUAUGUUGCAAUCAGCAAAUACAUCAUGAAGUGAACACUCAUUGAAUACAAGAGUUGUGCUAUUGUAGACCACUCGUUGAAUACCAGUUAAAAACACCGAGUGACAUCGUUUGGGUUUUUCGCUUAUAAAAUGUGUAAGUGUAGAAUGGCUUCCGAAGCUUAAGAUGCCAUCUAGUUUUUUUUCCAUAUUCUUUUUGAAAUAUUGAAAUCAAAUAAUACUGAGCUUACAACGUUAGAUUUGUCAAGACAUCCUUUGGUAAUAAUUCUUAUCCUAUUUGUAGUGUUGCUAUGUUGAAAACCAAACUGCGGUAAACCAUGCAAUUCCAUUGUUGAAUACACCUUUCCCAAUUCAACAUGGGGGUACAUGUGUAAAAUAGCACAGUUAGUCAAGAAAUCAGCUAGGUCCAUGUCCAUGGGCCCAAUCUGAAAAUAUGCCUUGCCGGGCGACACCCAUAAAUAGUUAGAGUGGCACGCUGGCAAUCAGACCUGCGUUGGUUUGCUGCAUUUCACCAUGACAGCCGCUCGCUCCGUCUCAUUGUACUUGUGGGUAAUAUUGACCUUGCUUAUGCUAAGCAGCCACUUUCUUGCAGCCCGCCGCACCCUCCUGGGUAUGUAUGUCAUAUCGGAAGAGCUCUAUUAAUUUUGCCGUCGGUCAAAUAUUUUAUCCCAUUUAGCCGUAUUACCAUUCAUGGCACUAUUUAUGCGUGUUGUCUGCAUGGUAUUUUCUCAAACUAUUUGCAUCUGUUAAAUCUAGUUUCACGCUGAUAGGAAUUUAUAACAGUUUCACUUUUCCUUGAAUCCAUGACAUUACUCGAGAGUCUUCUAUUUUUCUCUGAGUUUCUUGCUUGUGUGGUUUUUAUGUUCAUUUAUAUUUGUGGUUCAACGCAGUGGUAUUAAAACUAAACAUAAAAAGCCUCAAGAUGCGGCAACUACUCAUUCACCUCAAUAAACAGUCUAAUUGACAACAUUAAAAAAAACCAAUCAAUCCUCAACUCAAAGUUUCACUUCGGUACAUAGAAAGAUGAAUUUUAAUAACAUCAUUCUUCAGCAACUUUGUAUAAAAUUUGACUGUAUCCUUGCAUACAUUUUUUUUGAAAGAUAUUAUCCUCGCAUAAGAUAAUCAUAAAGUAACUGAGCUAGUCAAAUAUUGCAGCUUGCACGGGUUCAUCGCUCGACUCUUAUUAUGGCCCCCCAUGUGAGCAACCCCAUCCUCCAAUCGACCCUCCUCAACUGUAGCAAGUCCUAAGCUCCACCAGCAAGGCUACCUGCUCGUCUAAGCUUACUAGAAGAGACCAUUAUUAUAAACCUCAAUCAUUACUCUCCGAGCUGAUCUGCUGAUCAGGUUCUGCUCCUGCCCACAGAUACUCGAAUGUGCAAUGAGCUUACAAUAAACGGGUGGAAUCCAUUUUGUAAAACUAUAAGUAUGAGCUGAUGAUAGCUUUGGUUGCACAUUUGUAACUGUAUUCAUGUGCCCGUGUCAGAAGUAUGAAAUACUGAAAUCUGCUCCUGCUUUUCUAGAUGUGUUGAUUUCUCAUCAAACUGAUUUCUUUCCUAUUUCGAUCCGUGUGGAUUUUCUCUUUAUAAGUGGGGAAUAAAUGCUCUGCUCGCUGUGCUGUGGGUGGUA